CAAUAGCGUAUAUUAAAGUUGUUGCAGUUAAAAAGCUCGUAGUUGAAUUUUUGCUUGCCGCCGAUGUCGGAACUUCCGUACGUUCGGCGGCGUGCAUCCUUGGGUGGAACCUGUGUGGCAUUAGGUUGUCGUGCAGGGGAUGCUCAUCGUUUACUGUGAAAAAAUUAGAGUGUUCAAAGCAGGCUUACGCCGUUGAAUAUAUUAGCAUGGAAUAAUAAGAUAGGACCUUGGUACUAUUUUGUUGGUUUGCGCACCGUGGUAAUGAUUAACAGGGACAGUUGGGGGUAUUCGUAUUCCAUUGUCAGAGGUGAAAUUCUUGGAUUUCUGGAAGACGAACUACUGCGAAAGCAUUUACCAAGGAUGUUUUCAUUAA
rnacentral:rRNA from 1 species